UUUUGCAAUUUGUUCCUGAAUAUAUAAUAAAGUGUAUUGGGAUCAUUUUGCAUCCAU
rnacentral:pre_miRNA from 1 species